rnacentral:rRNA from 1 species
GACGAACGCUGGCGGCGUGCUUAACACAUGCAAGUCGAACGGAAAGGCCCUGCUUUUGUGGGGUGCUCGAGUGGCGAACGGGUGAGUAACACGUGAGUAACCUGCCCUUGACUUUGGGAUAACUUCAGGAAACUGGGGCUAAUACCGGAUAGGAGCUCCUGCUGCAUGGAGGGGGUUGGAAAGUUUCGGCGGGUGGGGAUGGACUCGCGGCUUAUCAGCUUGUUGGUGGGGUAGUGGCUUACCAAGGCUUUGACGGGUAGCCGGCCUGAGAGGGUGACCGGCCACCUUGGGACUGAGAGACGCAGCAGAGGCGUACGGGAGGCAGCAGUGGGGAAUAUUGCACAGUGGGCGGAAGCCUGAUACGGCAACGCCGCGUGCGGGAUGACGGCCUUCGGGUUGUAAACCGCUUUCGCCUGUGACGAAGCGUGAGUGACGGUAAUGGGUAAAGAAGCACCGGCUAACUACGUG